rnacentral:rRNA from 1 species
GCAUGGCUGUCGUCAGCUCGUGUCGUGAGAUGUUGGGUUAAGUCCCGCAACGAGCGCAACCCUUGCCAUUAGUUGCUACAUUUAGUUGAGCACUCUAAUGGGACUGCCGGUGACAAACCGGAGGAAGGUGGGGAUGACGUCAAGUCCUCAUGGCCCUUAUAGGUGGGGCUACACACGUCAUACAAUGGCUGGUACAAAGGGUUGUCAACCCGCGAGGGGGAGCUAAUCCCAUAAAGCCAGGCGUAGUCCGGAGCGCAGGAUGCAACUCGACUGCGUGAAGUCGGAAGCGCUAGUAAGCGCGGAGCAGCAUGGUAGCGGUGAAGACGUGUACCCGGGUAUUGCCACACGCA